UACGGAGGGUGCAAGCGUUAUCCGGAUUCACUGGGUUUAAAGGGUGCGUAGGUGGAUUAGUAGUCAGUGGUGAAAUCUCUGGGCUUAACUCAGAAACUGCCAUUGAUACUAUUAGUCUUGAAUACCGUGGAGGUCAGCGGAAUAUGUCAUGUAGCGGUGAAAUGCUUAGAUAUGACAUAGAACACCAAUUGCGAAGGCAGCUGGCUACACGAAUAUUGACACUGAGGCACGAAAGCGUGGGGAUCAAACAGG
rnacentral:rRNA from 1 species